GAACGUAAGAGUUUGAUCCUGGCUCAGAUUGAACGCUGGCGGCAUGCUUUACACAUGCAAGUCG
rnacentral:rRNA from 1 species